GCACCUGUGGUUUACCGGAUGUUGAAUUCCUGACUUCGAAUCAGGCGGGCAGGGUUCGACUCCUUGCAGGUGCU
rnacentral:tRNA from 1 species